GAUCCUGGCUCAGAUUGAACGCUGGCGGAAUGCUUUACACAUGCAAGUCGAGCGGCAGCGCGGGGGCAACCCUGGCGGCGAGCGGCGAACGGGUGAGUAACACAUCGGAACGUACCCCGUCGUGGGGGAUAACGAGUCGAAAGAUUCGCUAAUACCGCAUACGACCUGAGGGUGAAAGCGGGGGACCUGCGAGGGCCUCGCGCGAUGGGAGCGGCCGAUGUCCGAUUAGCUAGUUGGUGGGGUAAGAGCCUACCAAGGCGACGAUCGGUAGCUGGUCUGAGAGGAUGAUCAGCCACACUGGGACUGAGACACGGCCCAGACUCCUACGGGAGGCAGCAGUGGGGAAUUUUGGACAAUGGGCGCAAGCCUGAUCCAGCCAUUCCGCGUGAGUGAAGAAGGCCUUCGGGUUGUAAAGCUCUUUCGGCCGGGAAGAAAUCGGGCAGGUGAAUAAUCUGCCUGGAUGACGGUACCGGAAGAAGAAGCACCGGCUAACUACGUGCCAGCAGCCGCGGUAAUACGUAGGGUGCGAGCGUUAAUCGGAAUUACUGGGCGUAAAGCGUGCGCAGGCGGCUUUGUAAGACAGGUGUGAAAUCCCCGGGCUUAACCUGGGAAUGGCGCUUGUGACUGCAAGGCUUGAGUUCGGCAGAGGGGGGUGGAAUUCCACGUGUAGCAGUGAAAUGCGUAGAGAUGUGGAGGAACACCGAUGGCGAAGGCAGCCCCCUGGGUCGCGACUGACGCUCAUGCACGAAAGCGGGGGGAGCAAACAGGAUUAGAUACCCUGGUAGUCCACGCCCUAAACGAUGUCGACUAGGUGUUGGGGAAGGAGACUUCUUUAGUACCGUAGCUAACGCGUGAAGUCGACCGCCUGGGGAGUACGGUCGCAAGAUUAAAACUCAAAGGAAUUGACGGGGACCCGCACAAGCGGUGGAUGAUGUGGAUUAAUUCGAUGCAACGCGAAAAACCUUACCUACCCUUGACAUGCCAGGAACCUUGCUGAGAGGUGAGGGUGCCCGAAGGGGAGCCUGGACACAGGUGCUGCAUGGCUGUCGUCAGCUCGUGUCGUGAGAUGUUGGGUUAAGUCCCGUAACGAGCGCAACCCUUGUCCUUAGUUGCCAGCGGUUCGGCCGGGAACUCUAAGGAGACUGCCGGUGAUAAACCGGAGGAAGGUGGGGACGACGUCAAGUCAUCAUGGCCCUUAUGGGCAGGGCUACACACGUGCUACAAUGGCCAGUACAGAGGGUUGCCAACCCGCGAGGGGGAGCUAAUCCUGAAAAGCUGGUCGUAGUCCGGAUCGCAGUCUGCAACUCGACUGCGUGAAGUCGGAAUCGCUAGUAAUCGCGAAUUAGCAUGUCGCGGUGAAUACGUUCCCGGGCCUUGUACACACCGCCCGUCACACCAUGGGAGUGGGCUGCACCAGAAGUAGGUUGCUUAACCCGUAAGGGAGGGCGCUUACCACGGUGUGGUUCAUGACUGGGGUGAAGUCGUAACAAGGUA
rnacentral:rRNA from 1 species